GCAAACUUGGUCAUUUAGAGGAAGUAAAAGUCGUAACAAGGUUUCCGUAGGUAAGUAAAAAGAAGUUGCUUAUCUUAUUAUGUUUGAAUUAAUGUACUGACUUUUUAAUUUUUUAGGUGAACCUGCGGAAGGAUCAUUACAGAGUGUAACCCCCCGUAAAAAAGGGGGUAACCUCCCGUCCUUUGCUGGGUGGUCCCCCUCUUUAAUGAAGGGGGCCUUCCUUGGAACCUUUUUGCUUCGGUGGGGUGACCCGCCGGAACAACCUCAAAAAUUCUUUGAAAAUGGUUCAGUCCGAGAAAUUUUUGAAUUAAGUUAAAAACUUUCAACAACGGAUCUCUUGGUUCUGGCAUCGAUGAAGAACGCAGC
rnacentral:misc_RNA from 1 species